AGAUGCCUAAUUUUGCAGUCUAGCCAAGGUGGCCGUAUUGCUCCUGGAUUCGGCGGCCGACGGGUGAGUAAUGCCUCGGAAUCUGCCUGGUAAUGGGGGAUAACGUUCCGAAAGGAACGCUCAUACCGCGUACGUCCUACUGGAGAAAGCGGGGGACCUUCGGGCCUUGCGCUAUCGAAUGAGCCUAGGUCGGAUUACCUGGUUGGUGAGGUAAUGGCUCACCAAGGCGACGAUCCGUAACUGGUCUGAGAGGAUGAUCAGUCACACUGGAACUGAGACACGGUCCAAACUCCUACGGGAGACACCAGUGGGGAAUAUUGGACAAUGGGCGAAAGCCUGAUCCCGCCAUGCCACGUGUGUGAAAAAGGUCUUCGGAUUGUAAAGCACUUUAGGUUGGGAGGAAGAGCUGUAGGCUAAUAUCCUGCAAUUUUGACGUUACCAAAAGAAUAAGCACCGGCUAACUUCUUGCCGACAGCCGCGGCAAUACAAAGGGUGAAGCGUUAAUAAGAAUUACUGGGCAUAAAUCCCCCGUAAGUGGUCCGUUAAAUUGGAUAAAGCCCCUGGUUCAACCCGGGGAACUGCUCCAAACUGCGAGGUAGGGUCUUGGAGGGGGGAAUUUCCGGGGAGCGAGAAAUGCCUCCACCUGGAAGGACACGGGAAUCGACUACUUCGCUGU
rnacentral:rRNA from 1 species